AUGAGAUUUGGGAGGGGCAGGGGUGGAAUGAUAUGGUUUGGCUGUGUCCCCACCCAAAUCUCAACUUGAAUUGUAUUUCCCAAAAUUCCCACGUGUUGUGGGAAGGACCCAGCGGGAGGUAACUGAAUCAGUGAGGCUGGUCUUCCCCAUGCUAUUCUCGUGAUAGCGAAUACGUUUCAUGAGAUCUGAUGGGUUUAUCAGGGGUUUCUGCUUUUGCUUCCUCCUUAUUCUCUGUUGCCACUGCCAAGUCAGAAGUGCCUUUUGCCCUCCACUAUGAUUGUGAGACCUUCCCCAGCUACAUGGACGGGACUUACAGUAUCAUAAGAAAGAUAGACAUUUAAAUCAUCUCAACAAGGACAAUGGACAUCAUGGAAUCACACAGCAGGAGAACCUCGCCUAGUCUACCGAUCAGAUACUCCAUGCAGUUGUCACCUCCUCUAUGAAGCCUCUCCUGCCCCUUCCAAGUAGAACUGUCCAUUCCAUCUGUGGCAGAGUCUGGCUACAUGUUCAUCAAACCCUGUUUCAAAUAUCCUCCUCUGCAUGUCAUUACACUGUAUCUCCCAGCCCCCUUGCAUCUACAUGAGGCCGCAUGACCACAUGCUGGGUCACUUCUGGGCCAAAAUGGUAUUGGAGAGUCCAUCUUCUCCACUCUGGCUCUCUUUCCAUGCACCAGAUAGGUGAUUUUUAGUGAUCUUUAGUGGAAGAUGAAACAGGUCUGUAUCUCUAAAUGACUUUGUGGAGUGGAGCUUCCCUUCCCAAGCUGACCCACAAUAAACUCUGAUGUGAGCAAGAAAUACAU
rnacentral:lncRNA from 1 species